rnacentral:rRNA from 1 species
GUGAAAUUGUUGAAAGGGAAGCGCUUGCAACCAGACCUGCCUGCAGUUGCUCAUCCGGGCUUUUGCCCGGUGCACUCUUCUGCUGUCAGGCCAGCAUCGGUUCGGGCGGUCGGAUAAAGGCUUCGGGAAUGUAGCUCCUCUCGAGGAGUGUUAUAGCCCGUUGCGAAAUGCGGCCAGCCUGAACUGAGGUCCGCGCUUCGGCUAGGAUGCUGGCGUAAUGGUUGUAAGCGGCCCGUCUUGAAACACGGACCAAGGAGUCUAACAUCUGUGCGAGUGUUUGGGUGUCAAACCCGUACGCGUAAUGAAAGUGAACGGAGGCGGGAACCCCUCGGGGUGCACCGUCGACCGAUCCUGAUGUCUUCGGAUGGAUUUGAGUAAGAGCAUAGCUGUUGGGACCCGAAAGAUGGUGAACUAUGCCUGAAUAGGGUGAAGCCAGAGGAAACUCUGGUGGAGGCUCGCAGCGGUUCUGACGUGCAAAUCGAUCGUCAAAUUUGGGCAUAGGGGCGAAAGACUAAUCGAACUAUCUAGUAGCUGGUUCCUGCCGAAGUUUCCCUCAGGAUAGCAGUAACGUUUUCAGUUUUAUGAGGUAAAGCGAAUGAUUAGAGGCCUGGGGGUUGAAACAACCUUCACCUAUUCUCAAACUUUAAAUAUGUAAGAAGUCCUUGUUACUUAGUUGAACGUGGACAUUUGAAUGUAUCGUUACUAGUGGGCCAUUUUUGGUAAGCAGAACUGGCGAUGCGGGAUGAACCGAACGCGGAGUUAAGGUGCCGGAAUGCACGCUCAUCAGACA